rnacentral:tRNA from 1 species
AACUAAGUAGCUUAUAUCAGAGCACUGCAUUGAAGCUGCAAUGGAGCUCCCCGGAGCCGUAGUUA